AUGAAUUAUGCUUAUGGAGAUGAACUUGCUAUAGUUCCUUAUGUUAAACAUGAAAUUGUUGCUAUUGCACCCACGCAUGAUAGUCCUAUUAUCUUUUUGAAUUAUUCCGACUACACUAUAUCGGAGAAGUUUGCACUUAUUAAGGAUUAUAUUGAUGGGUUGCCUUUUACCGCUACACAUGAUGAUUUUGAUAGAUAUAAUAUGCAUGUGCUUGCUGUUCCUACUUGCAAUUAUUAUGAGAGAGGAACUAUAUCUCCACCUUUCUAUGUUUCCCACACGAUAAAAUUGCAAGAAACUGCUUAUGCUAUGUAUUGGCCUUUACUUGAUGUGCAUGAAUUGUUCUUGUAUGACAUGCCGAUGCAUAGGAAGAGAGUUAGACUUCGUCAUUUCUUGAUAUAUGUUGCGUUGUGCUCACUACUAAAUGCCAAAUCAUUGCUAAUUAAAAUUGGCUUUGAUAUACCUUGGGAUCCGGGUGGAUUCACUACUUGA
rnacentral:rRNA from 1 species